UACGUAGGGUGCGAGCGUUGUCCGGAAUUAUUGGGCGUAAAGAGCUUGUAGGCGGUUUGUCGCGUCUGCUGUGAAAAUCCGGGGCUCAACCCCGGACUUGCAGUGGGUACGGGCAGACUAGAGUGUGGUAGGGGAGACUGGAAUUCCUGGUGUAGCGGUGGAAUGCGUAGAUAUCAGGAGGAACACCGGUGGUGUAGACGGCUUACUGGACCACGACUGACACUGAGGCACGAAAGCGUGGGUAGCAAACAGG
rnacentral:rRNA from 1 species